CACGUAGGGUGCGAGCGUUUGUCCGGAAUUAUUGGGCGUAAAGAGCUCGUAGGCGGUGUGUCGCGUCGGCCGUGAAAACCUGCAGCUUAACUGUGGGCUUGCGGUCGAUACGGGCAUCACUGGAGUUCGGCAGGGGAGACUGGAAUUCCUGGUGUAGCGGUGAAAUGCGCAGAUAUCAGGAGGAACACCCGGUGGCGAAGGCGGGGUCUC
rnacentral:rRNA from 1 species